GAUUAACGCUGGCGGCGUGCCUAACACAUGCAAGUCGAACGAUGAAACUUAAAUGAUUUCUUCGGAAUGAACUUAAGUGGAUUAGUGGCGGACGGGUGAGUAACGCGUGAGUAACCUGCCUUACACAAGGGGAUAGCCGUUGGAAACGACGAAUAAUACCCUAUGAAACUAUCACUUCGCAUGAAGCGAUAGUCAAAGUGUUAGCGGUGUAAGAUGGACUUGCGUCUGAUUAGCUAGUUGGUGAGAAAAAAGCCCACCAAGGCAACGAUCAGUAGCCGGCUUGAGAGAGUGUACGGCCCCAUUGGGACUGAGACACGGCCCAGACUCCUACGGGAGGCAGCAGUGGGGAAUUUUGCACAAUGGGGGAAACCCUGAUGCAGCGACGCCGCGUGAUUUAGAAGGCCUUCGGGUUGUAAAAAUCUUUUGUAUAGGAAGAAAAUGACAGUACUAUACGAAUAAGGUCCGGCUAAUUACGUG
rnacentral:rRNA from 1 species